rnacentral:rRNA from 1 species
UAGGGAAUCUUCCGCAAUGGGCGAAAGCCUGACGGAGCAACGCCGCGUGAGUGAUGAAGGUCUUCGGAUCGUAAAACUCUGUUAUUAGGGAAGAACAAAUGUGCAAGUAACUAUGCACGUCUUGACGGUACCUAAUCAGAAAGCCACGGCUAACUACGUGCCAGCAGCCGCGGUAAUACGUAGGUGGCAAGCGUUAUCCGGAAUUAUUGGGCGUAAAGCGCGCGUAGGCGGUUUUUUAAGUCUGAUGUGAAAGCCCACGGCUCAACCGUGGAGGGUCAUUGGAAACUGGAAAACUUGAGUGCAGAAGAGGAAAGUGGAAUUCCAUGUGUAGCGGUGAAAUGCGCGGAGAUAUGGAGGAACACCAGUGGCGAAGGCGACUUUCUGGUCUGUAACUGACGCUAAUGUGCGAAAGCGUGGGGAUCAAACAGG